CUGCUGACCUCAGUGUGGGGGGCAUCUGCAGGAGCCAGGGGAGAGGUGGGGAGACUCUGGUUGCUAGAUACUGCUGGCUGCUGGGUGGUAGAAGGGAUCACCCAUGAGGGACCAGGGCGUGUGGGCCAGCUGAGGCAGCCUGAGGGACAGAGCAGGACGAUUGUCCUUCUAGCUCUUGUAUCACCACUAACCUGGGUUUCUGGAGACUUCUGUCCCCAUCUGGAAAUAAACUGUCACUUUUCUUUCAGGGUUAGCUGUACCAGACUCUCUCAUCAGAGGUUGCCUACUUGCAAUGCCUCCGAUAAAUUGCAUUAUUUCCUCCACAUUCCUAGUUCCACAAGGGCACACAUGGAGACAGGCUCUGAAGCGGGUGAACCCCGGACACAAACCAUGGGCUGGCCAGACACCCAGAUGACACCAAAGACUUUUCCAAGCAAGCCUCCAUGGACAUCACCCUGGGUGAGCCUCUGAUCAAAGAGAUUACUAAUGCUUCCAAGGCUACCUGCUGGUAAUAUCAAUGGAAGAGCUGCAGCAACAGAGAAAUAUUUCUGCCACUGCUGAUGAGUUUAAUGCUGUGUCUUCCAGUCCUAGAGAUGUACAGCAAACUGAGGGCCCAGAAGAAAAGGAAAAGGUCUAAUUGAAGACAGAUUCAACACACAAGAGGAAGUAGAAAAGAAGAUGAUGCAGCUUGCCCCCACCAUACCCCAGGAUAUCAGAGAAUAGGAAAGCCAUCAUGAAUGUCUGAAACUUACUGAAGCCCAUGAGAGAAGGCCCUAGUUUGGGGUAUCUGGACUGAGCUAGCUGGCUAUUUUGGUUCUAGGGGGUUGCACCAUUUGAGUCUCAGGAGAAGAAUACAUGAAGUUGUUUGUGUGAUUAACCUUUCCCUUUGGGAGGAGGUGUUCAUGGUUCUCUCUGUAACUAGGAUUAUGGUCAGGGGCAGUGAGUGUGGGGUGAUGAGGCAUCCUGCUCAGAUCUUUUUGCUAUGGCUGUAAUUCUACUGAUGCUUCGGACUAUCACUUUUAGCAUCUGACUCAGACACCUCUCUGAACUUCUCUGCCUCAUCUCUGUUUACAGGAUUCUCUUUGUGGUGCCAGCUCAAAGGCAGUUUGCAAUAGGUUUCAUUGAUUUCCUGGGAAGCGUUUGACUGCACACCCAGCAAUUGGUCAUAGCUGUUCUUAGGUAGAAGGGACUGGGUAGAUUGACCCAGUAGGCCUGCAAUAACCCACCCACCCCUAAGGAUGGGAGAGGUGUCUACAAGAACUCAAUUGUCACACUUAUCAUCCUUCUGAUUUCUGUGUUAACUGUUCCUCUUGUGAUGAGGGCUGGCUCAGGGCCAGUCUGGUGGCUCUCACUUACUCACUUCAGGUGCUCCUUGCCAUGGUGGUCUGACCAGAGCUCUGUGUCCUCUUCCUCCUUAAGCUCUCCUGGCCAGUCUCUACAAUGUGUGUGACCUUGUGUUGAUGUCACAAAGGGCCCUUUCAGAGUCAGAGGCUGAAAGGAGAUAGGGGAAAGGGAGUGCAGCAUUUUCCCAGAGUCCUCUGGGGUGUCCUCGUGUGCACUGAACUGGUAGGACAGAUGGGCUGGGUCAGCAGCUGGCAGGGGGCUCCAUCUCCAUGGAGCAACCCUACCAUGGUCAUCUCAUUCUGUCCUCCAGGAGCUGAGUUACCUUACCCAUUUUCCCCAUUGGCCUCAGGUUCCCACCUUCAAGAACCCAAUCUAAGUUGGAGCAGGCAGGAAUAGGAGGAUGACGACAUGCUUACUGAAUGCCAAGGACCAUCCACUGUAUUUCAUAGGCAGCCUUUAGUCCUGGAGGAAUGUACUUUCCCAGGCCUCAGUGGCUCACAAUACUCUUAUUAUUUAAAUGACAGAAGUGUUAAGUGCUUGAAACAUAUCAAAGUAUCAGGAUGUUUGUAAAGUAAAAUGGCCCUUCCCAGAAAAGAUGCAGAGUCACAUUUCCCAGUGAAACACUGUUCUGCCUGGCGUGUUGUUCUACUUUUGUGUGUAUGUGUGAUGCUGAGAGUGUUAUGUGACAAAACUUUUCAUGGGGAGACACCACACACAUUUACUUACCCCAGAUAGGGAGUCCAUGACAGACCGAAGUACAGAUACCACCGAAGUCCAACCUUGAGAACCAGUGAGUUUUAUUGGGUUAUUACAGGAAUGUGGGUGAGAGGUCACUCACAGGAGCAGAAAUGACUCAAAGACCGCUGCGUCACCCAAGCCCACCCCAGCAUGGUGACAGCUCACAGAGCUGGGAACCUGGAGACACUGCACAGCCUGAAGGCAGCUCAGCAGGUUGGACACUGUCUUUUCUGGGUGCCUCAGUUGGUCUAAACUGAAAGGUUUAAACUUUCCCACUUCAAUAACUGAAUUUAGGUUUCAGUUCUCUGAAAGAAGCCAACAGAUGUCUCUUCCAACAAAGCUCCAUUUAUCAACAAAUGACCUUCAGGGAUGAGGGAGAGAGCACAAAGAAGCCUGAGUCAGCCCCACAAUGUCUCAAGGACAGUUCCUGCAACCCCUUGAAUCUCACCCAAAGUUGUGAGAGAGAAAACCUCAGCCAGUUAAAAGUAUGCUAAUGUCACUGCUGCUUGCCUAACCAAUAAUGUUUGAGAUGACCUAACCGUGCCUCAAAUCCCCUAGCUAUGCUUAACCUGCAUGCUCCUAUCGGAUCUCGGCCAUGGUGUCCAGGUGAAUGCCCAGGUGUAUGCUGGUAUUGUAAUACACACUAUUUGAGUCUGGGGUCUUCCUUCAGCGUUUCCUUGGACCUCAACAAAGUCUCUUCCAGGCAGCUGUUGGGGGUUCUGUUUUUUCAUUAGCUGGUCUGGUCUCAGCCUCUUCUUCCCAGCUUGGUCCUGCCCCUCACAGGCACUCUCAGCUUUUACUGUUUACUCUGGCAGGAAAGACCUAGUGAAUCUGGUCAGUUUGGGGCCUUUCUGGAUACAUUUAAGGUGUUUACCUUCCUGCUUUAGGAGCUUCCCUGGGGGAUGGAAUAUUUCAGUCUCAGAGGAAACUGUUGUACACCAGAGGGUUGGACUCAGGAGUGGUAGGUAAGCACUCCAGCCUGAGCUACAUCUGAAGCCCUACAUAUAUGUUUUUACUUUAUAAUUGAAAUUACAUCUUGGCUCAGACAUAAAGACAUAGAAAUGGCACAUGUAAUUAACAGUGUAGGCACAGUUGUGUAUCGCUGGCAGGUCUGGAACUCACUGUGUAAACCAGGUUGGCCUCAAACGCACAGAGAUCUGCCUGGCUCUGCCUUCUCAGUGCUGGGUUCAAAGGCAUGCGCCGCCACAUCAGGCCCUAUCAUUCUCAUUCUAGUUUUGUGUUCUGGAUCUUUACAUAUCUUGUAAACUUGUCUCCCAUUCUGCAAACAUUUUAAGCAUUAAUUUCUAUCAUUAAUCUUUCUACUGUUGAAGUUAUUUAGCCACAAGUGAUGUAAAGCUCAUUUCCAGUGCCCAAAAACUGCCCCUACCAGCUGGGUCCAGAACUUCCCAGACAGGUGUGGUGUGCAUACCUAGCACUCAGAAUAUAGAGACAGGAGGAUCAGGUUUUCAAAGGCCAUGCAGGGCUACAUGAGCUCCCAUCUAAAAUAAUACAAAUUUUCAAAACAUUCCCAUCUUCCCCAACAAAAGUUGGUCCCAAUCCAGCACUAACCCUCCCCUACGACUGUCGGUGCCCACCAUGUUGCUCUGUCUCUAUGUGAACUCUUGGUUCUGGAGACUUCAGACUGUGGGUCACCACACUGUCGUGGACUGGCUUAUUUUUCUCAGCAUGAUGCACAUACACUAUCAUGUGUCAGUUCUCCCUUACUUCUUAAAGCUUAGUUACCACCCUUGCUUGGACAGCCCCAUCGUAUCCUCUGACCCUUUGGUGGACCCAAGUCUUAGCUGUAGUGAAAUGCCACUGUGAAUGAGGUAUGCAGACACAUGCCUGAGUCUCUAUUUUCCUUCCUUUGGGUGUCUACUCAUUUCUUUUGUUGUUUUUUUGUUUUGUUUUUUGAGACAGGGUUUCUCUGUGUAGCUUUGCGCCUUUCCUGGAACUCACUUGAUAGUCCAGGCUGGCCUCGAACUCACAGAGAUCCACCGGGCUCUGCCUCCCGAGUGCUGGGAUUAAAGGCGUGCGCCACCACCUCCCGGCGGGUGUCUACUCUUGAUAUUCCUCUAAAACACA